CGGUGUUCAACUGGCGUGUCCGCGGGACGUCCUGCCGGUGGGCUUAGCCCGCAAGGGCGGCCCAACUUCAAAUCCCAUCGCGGUGCUCUUCACUGAGUGUCGAGGUGGGCCGGCACGUUUACUUUGAACAAAUUAGAGUGCUUAAAGCAGGCUAAAACUUCGCCUGAAUACUGUGUGCAUGGAAUAAUGGAAUAGGACCUCGGUUCUAUUUUGUUGGUUUUCAGAACCCCGAGGUAAUGAUUAAUAGGAACGGAUGGGGGCAUUCGUAUUGCGACGUUAGAGGUGAAAUUCUUGGAUCGUCGCAAGACGGACAGAAGCGAAAGCAUUUGCCAAAAACGCUUUCAUUGAUCAAGAACGAAAGUUAGAGGUUCGAAGGCGAUCAGAUACCGCCCUAGUUCUAACCAUAAACGAUGCCAGCUAGCGAUCCGUCGACGUUCCUCCGAUGACUCGACGGGCAGCUUCCGGGAAACCAAAGCUUUUGGGUUCCGGGGGAAGUAUGGUUGCAAAGCUGAAACUUAAAGGAAUUGACGGAAGGGCACCACCAGGAGUGGAGCCUGCGGCUUAAUUUGACUCAACACGGGAAGCCUCACCAGGCCCGGACACCGGAAGGAUUGACAGAUUGAGAGCUCUUUCUUGAUUCGGUGGGUGGUGGUGCAUGGCCGUUCUUAGUUGGUGGAGCGAUUUGUCUGGUUAAUUCCGAUAACGAACGAGACUCUAGCCUGCUAACUAGGCGUAUUUUCGACAUCUCAAAGGUCCGUCGUCCCGGCCCUCGGGUCGUGGGCGUGCGCGAUUUUUACUGUCGGCGUACUAUCAAUUCUUCUUAGAGGGACAGGUGGCUUCUAGCCGCACGAGAUUGAGCAAUAACAGGUCUGUGAUG
rnacentral:rRNA from 1 species